rnacentral:tRNA from 1 species
AUAGCUCAGUUGGUAGUAGCGCACGCCUGAUAAGCGUGAGGUCGAUGGUUCGAGUCCAUUUAGGCCCA